rnacentral:rRNA from 1 species
AGCAGCCGCGGUAAUUCCAGCUCCAAUAGCGUAUAUUAAAGUUGUUGCAGUUAAAAAGCUCGUAGUUGAAUUUCGGGAUCAGUACGCCGGUCGUGCCUCCGGUAUGUACUGGUGUUACUGGUUCCUACCUUCUGACGAACCGUCAUGUCAUUAAUUUGGUGUGGCGGGGAAUCAGGACUGUUACUUUGAAAAAUUAGAGUGUUUAAAGCAGGCUCGCGCUUGAAUACAUUAGCAUGGAAUAAUGAAAUAGGACGUUCGAUCCUAUUUUGUUGGUUUCUAGGAUUGACGUAAUGAUUAAUAGGGAUAGUUGGGGGCAUUAGUAUUCAAUUGUCAGAGGUGAAGUUCUUGGAUUUAUUGAAGACUAACUACUGCGAAAGCAUUUGCCAAGGAUGUUAUCAUUAAUCAAGAACGAAAGUUAGGGGAUCGAAGACGAUCAGAUACCGUCGUAGUCUUAACCAUAAACUAUGCCGACUAGGGAUCGGAUGAUGUUAUUUUUAAUGACUCAUUCGGCGCCUUAAC